GAAUUGCGAUAUGUAAUGUGAAUUGCAGAAUUCAGUGAAUCAUCGAAUCUUUGAACGCACCUUGAGCCCUUUGGUAUUCCGAAGGGCAUGCCUGUUUGAGUGUUAUUAAUACCUCACUCUUGAAGUCUUUUAUUAGGUUUCAAGAUGUGGACUUUGGAGGCUUUUGCAGGCUAUCACUAGUCAGCUCCUCUUAAAUGUAUUAGCGGAACUCUAUGCAGUACCGGCUUCAGUUUGAUAAUCCUAUCUAUGCUGUCGCUGUGAACUGUGCUGUUUGGCUUAUAAUUGUCUUCGGACUGCCGUUUUGGCAUAAUUUAAACUUAACCUCAAAUCAGGUAGGACUACCCGCUGAACUUAA
rnacentral:misc_RNA from 1 species